AGCAAACCUCCUAACUUGCUUUCUCUCUUCCAUGCCUUGAGUGUAGGACUGUUGGAAUCUUAAUUACCCUCCCACACCCAAGGCUUGCAGGAGAGUGAGCCUUCUCUUCCCUCUCCAGU
rnacentral:pre_miRNA from 14 species